UCGAGAAUCAUUCACAAUGGGCGAAAGCCUGAUGGUGCGACGCCGCGUGGGGGAAGAAGGUCUUCGGAUUGUAAACCCCUGUUAUGUGGGAGCAAGCUAGAGAUAGCAGAUAGUACCACAAGAGGAAGAGACGGCUAACUCUGUGCCAGCAGCCGCGGUAAUACGUAGGGGGCAAGCGUUAUCCGGAAUUACUAGGUGUAAAGGGUGAGUAGGCGGCAUAGUAAGUCAUAUGUGAAAGCCCGCAGCUUAACUGCGGAGUUGCAUAAGAAACUAUUGAACUAGAGUGUCGGAGAGGUAAGUGGAAUUCCUAGUGUAGCGGUGAAAUGCGUAGAUAUUAGGAGGAACACCAGUGGCGAAGGCGACUUACUGGACGAUAACUGACGUUGAGGCUCGAAAGCGUGGGGAGCAAACA
rnacentral:rRNA from 1 species